GAAGAAGGGAGUUUGAGAUGUCCGAUACUAAAAGAGCUGUUUAUAAGAUAUAUGAAUGCAGAACUGUGGGAGAAGAAAGAUGCUUAGAAUUCGGUGAAAGAUCUGAUACAGAAAUGUUAAUGAGAAUGUUAUCUUGUAAGGACACGAGGGUGAACAUCCCCGACCGGAGGCAACGAAGGCAGGGCCAGCAACAGUUGGCUGUCGAAGAUAGCGCACAUCGCAGAUGGAUAUAUCCAUUUCUUGCGGAGCACCCGAUAGAUUGGCUUACCGAACACGCAUGGCCUACAGAAAGAUAUUUGUUUCCGCCCAGCUUGAUAUCAACCGGAACCCAGGAAAAUUGUGCAGCUCUUUGUGCUCGAUAGCUUGCUGCGUUUUCCUCUUUCGAGACACCGUUGACGUCGCUCCCGGCAUAUCCGGCGCAAACGUUCAGAAUUCUCCGAUUUGAACGAGUUAAAUCGACCAAUAUAAAGAGAGUUUUAAUUACGAUACAUCCGCACACUGUACAUCAUCGAUUCUUCUAUUCGAUUUUGAUCUUCUAUCCAUCGAACGCGCGCGUGAAGAUACGAGCAUAACACCCCGUGACACCUCCAGACGCAGAGGGCGACUGAACACUGAACUUGAUUUGCGGAACAGCUCGAGAAGAAGGGAGGAUUCCGAGAGAAAGAGAGGAACACGUGGUGCGAUACUCCGUGAAAGAGGGGACCUUGCUAGCUCUAAACUGUGAUGCGCGAGCGACCGGCAACCGAUCAGUCGCUGGAGGGCUCAAAAAUCCUACUUUUGGCACCUCCGACACGCCAAAAACAUCGCAGUAAUUAUUACUGCCACGGGAACAUCGUUGUCAACAGUCCUGGUACUGCCAGUGUUGCAGUACAAUGGUAAUUUACAUAAAAAUCCGCGGUUCAACGAUGGGUCAGGGUCAUGGGCUACAAUUUAUUCCUACGAAAAGAGAAUUAUAAUAUACUACAGUAUUACAUAAUCUUUAAAAUAAUUUCUAUUCGAAGGGUACGGGAAAAUGCAGUGAACUCUUUGUCGAAGGUGUCCUAAUCUACUAAACAUUAUACGGUUUCUCUGGUAAUCGUGGAAUGUGUUAUCUGAUCUACUAGAGGUCUAGUUGGAAAGAAAGGCGACGCGAUGGAGAAAAAAGAAGGAGGCCGGCCAGAUAAAUUCAACGUUGCUCGAGUUGGAUCGACUGGAAGGAGAAAGACGGGCGGGAGGACCGGGGGAAUGGGAAAGGGUCAGAGGGCAGUGUCCCGAGGCAAGGGGCCGCAGCCAGGGCCACAGAAAAAUUUGCAUUUCCUGUUCGCGACGAAUAAUGCCGGCCGUCGUCGAAUCAGCCCAGUCCGAUCCUCAGAAUUUCCGCCUGAUAUCAUGGCAAACGGUUACACGCGUGCCUGACCCUACGACGAACAAGGAAACACCUUUCCAUUGCUUUUUCAUUCUAAAAGAACACCAAACUCUAUUUGUUAAUAGAUUUAUUCGGUAUUACCAAAAACCUCUCUGAAUUUUUCUCUUCUUUUGUUCGUUACGAAAUUUCGGGUUCAAGAACAUUGAUUAAUUUAUUUUUAUUUUCUCUGUAAAGGGAAAGAUUUUGAUCAUUUUCUGAUAAAGUUCCUCAUUUCUAGGAAGCCACUGUGGUCUCUUUGUGAGCUUUUUCGUGUUUCCGAAUAACUGUGGAGAAUAGUUUCUCGUCAGGGGUUGGAGGGAUUCAAGCGAACGAUGAAGAGGAGGGAGAAGAGAUGUUUAUGGGAACAGCUGUUCUUCGACUGGGGUUGUUGACCAUGCACACCUACUUCUACUCGGAAGCCUUUAUGGGGGCUUUUCUGACCUCCAGGUAUAUUAACACGUGACCGACUUCCAUGGGGGAAGAUCUUUCUGCUUCUCGUUCCGUCCUGGCGUGUUGCACACCAAUAGGCGGCCGGAAUGAAUUUGAAUGCAGUUGAUGUGCAAUGUUUUUUGAACGAUUUUACCGUGAGUGGAGGACUGUUCCAUCGUGUCGACUAAAAAAAAAAAUAGUCUAACGCAAGGGGAAAGAAAGUUUCUAGAGGAAGGCUGAAUGGCGUAACGGUCCGGCGGGAGAAAAACGGAGCACACACUUGUCUCCGGACAAAAAAUCAUGUAGAAACAUCUGGAGCUUUGAAACGAUCCUACGGUGGCCCACGAAAAAAAAACCGUUUGUGUAGCUUGUAGCAUAUACGCGUGGGAGCAUGAUCUUGCGUUCAUCCGCAACGGUACACGCAGUGUGUAUAGAAAAAAAGUUUCCAAUUUAUUUGUAUAAAUAGAACGAUGUACAAAAAUGUCACAUAAAUGAGUAAAUAGUA